UGCCCCGUGGCUCAGUUGGCUAGAGCGUGUGACUGUUAUGUCAAGGCAUCACAAGGUCGAGAGUUCAAGCCUCUCCGGGGCAG